GCCCCGCCCCGCCCCGCCCGGGGGCGCGGAGCCCGGAGCGCCGCGGGGGGGGGCACCGGGAGCACCGGGAGCACCGGGAGCAUGGAGCGGCCCGGGGGGAGCGCGGAGGCCCCGGACGAGGCCGCCCCCCUCCUCCCCCGGCCGCCACCGCCCCCCAGCUCCGGGCUGUGCUCGGCGCGCUGCUCCCUGGCCCUGCUGGCUCACGGCUCCCUGCUCGUGGCGUACGCGCUGCGGGCCGCGCUCAGCAUCGCCAUCAUCGCCAUCACCGGCGGCCCUCCCAGCGCCAACCGCAGCGCCCCCGGCCCGCGGCUGCCUCAGGCCCCUGCCUACAACUGGAGCGCCGAGACCCAGGGGAUCGUCCUCAGCUCCUUCUUCUAUGGCUACGGCCUCACGCAGGCGCUGGGCGGCUACGGCGCGGGGCUCCUCGGGGGGAAGCUGGUGCUGGGCAGCGGGCUGCUGCUGUCCUCCGCCCUCACCCUGCUCGUGCCGCGAGCUGCGGAGCUCGGCGCGGGUUUCCUCGUGGGGCUGCAGGCGCUGCUGGGCUUGGCGCAGGGGGUGAUAUUUCCAGCCCAGUACACGCUCUGGGCAAAGUGGGCCCCUCCGCUGGAACGCAGCCGGCUCAUGAAUAUCGCUGAUGCUGGAUGCACUUUUGGAACUUUCUCUGCUCUUCUCGUGGCUGGAUUCAUCUGCCAGAGCCUGGGCUGGCCUCUUGUCUUCUACAUCUUUGGCAGUGGGUUCGGGGGAGUUUGUCCCUUUCCAUCCUUUGCGCCCCGUUUCACUGACACCAGCCUCCCCCAGCGGCGCUCAGCUCUGCUUCAUCGUACCCACCGAGAGCCCCACUCCCCACAGGUGGCGUGGGCUGUGCCUGGUGCCUCUGCUGGUUCCUCCUCGUGUACGAGGACCCCGCGAGUCACCCGUGGAUCAGUGCCGGGGAGCGGGAGUACAUCGUGGCGUCGCUGGCUCACCAGACUGGUUGUUCUACAUGCUGCUCACCUCCAUGCCCACGUUCAUGAGCAGCGUCCUCCACUUCGACCUCAGCGAGAACGGGCUCCUCUCCUCCCUGCCCUACAUUGGGAACGGGCUGGGGCACAUCCUGGCGGGGCUGCUGGCCGAUUUCCUCCUGGCCCGGCGGGUGCUCGGAACAGCAGCUGUCAGGAAGCUCUUCUCAGCACUGGGGAUGCUGCUCCCCUCCAUCUUCCUGGUGGCUGUGCCUUACAUCGGCUGCAGCUCCACGGCUGCCGUGGUCCUCCUAACGCUGGCGUUGACGAUAAUCAGCAUGACAGGGGCAGGCAUCAACAUUAACCACAUCGAUAUAGCCCCCAGACUUGCAAGGAAGAUGCUAGCGUGGCUCAUCCUGGCAGGCGCUGCUCAUGCAGAUGAGUUUAAAGAUGUUUCUGCUGGCUGAGGAUCUCGGUGGCCUUGUUCACUGCAGGGAAGGGGCUGGCAGCACCUGCUCCUCUUUCCAGUUUCUUCUCUGUCCCGCUCAGGAAAUCUUUGCUUCCUCCCUCCAGGUACGCAGGGUUCCUGCUAGGAGUCACAAAUACCCUUGGCAUAAUCUCAGGGAUUAUUGCACCUACUGCAGUCGGGCUUCUCGUCAGCCAGGAUCCCCGUGCCGGCUGGAGGAACGCCUUCAUCGUGGCUGCAGCCCUCAACGUCUUCGG